AUAACCGCCGUGCGACUUUUCUCAAAGUUUUUAUGUUGGACAAGCGACGACGUCGCCGCCGCCGAUCUCUAUACAGAGUAUACCUAAAGACGAUGCUAUAUAGUCGCGAUUCAUACGAUACAUAUAGUGUGUGGUUUGACAAUCAGCGAGGGUUUAGGUGGUUUACCGUUUGUUUGCGAUUGUGACGAUAUUAAUAGUAUACAUGUAUAACAUGAUAGGCCGAGUGCAAAUGUUUCGAUGCGUUGAUCGUCGGCUUAUAUAAAUCGACGUCGUAACCGCACUCGAUUGGAAACGCUCAUCGACAAGUGACUAUCAUCACUAAUUCAUGUACGCGUGAUCUAUAUUAUAUGUACUUUACCUAUAUAUUCCAUAUUUUACAUAAUAUUAUGUAACAAUGAUAUAAUGUAUCAUAUUAUAGAGUGGUAGGUACGCGAUAAUUGUUAACGAAGAUAACAAUAACAAAUUAAUAAUACAUAACAAUGUGUUACCUUA